GAUGAACGCUGGCGGCGUGCCUAAUACAUGCAAGUCGAGCGAACAGACGAGGAGCUUGCUCCUCUGACGUUAGCGGCGGCCGGGUGAGUAACACGUGGAUAACCUACCUAUAAGACUGGGAUAACUUCGGGAAACCGGAGCUAAUACCGGAUAACAUGUUGAACCGCAUGGUUCAACAGUGAAAGACGGUCUUGCUGUCACUUAUAGAUGGAUCCGCGCCGCAUUAGCUAGUUGUUAAGGUAACGGCUUACCAAGGCAACGAUGCGUAGCCGACCUGAGAGGGGGAUCGGCCACACUGGAACGUAGACACGGUCCAGACUCCUACGGGAGGCAGCAGUAGGGAAUCUUCCGCAAUGGGCGAAAUCCUGACGGAGCAACGCCGCGUGAGUGAAGAAGGUCUUCGGAUCGUAAAACUCUGUUAUUAGGGAAGAACAAAUGUGUAAGUAACUAUGCACGUCUUGACGGUACCUAAUCAGAAAGCCACGGCUAACUACGUG
rnacentral:rRNA from 1 species